CUUCACAGCAGACGUAGCACCAAUCCGCCUGUCGAAAAUUAAAAUGGAUAAAAUUAAACAGUUUAUCCAUAUCCAUACUUUACGGUAAUGACAAUAUAUCUAAUGAAAUGUAUAAAAUUGGCAAUAUGAUUAAAUAUAUGGGCAAAUACCAUAUUCACACAGGAAAAGGGAAACAUUUUAAUCCUUCCGUAACGCUGUUUAAAAUUGAAUUACAGGGAUAUUUUUCUUCUCUGUCACCUCUUAAAAGACUGUAAUAUGUCAUAGUUUGGGUUUUGUUUAGUUUUUAGUUUUAAACUUCUCUUUUUUAACCUGUUCACUCCUCUGUCACCAGCCAGUAAUCAAGUCAGUUCAGUUCACCUCUCAAUUACCAGCCACCACCCAACAAGUUUACCUGUCACCAGUCAUUAACCAGUCAGUUCUGUUCACCUCUCAGCCACCAGUCACUAACCAAUCAAUUUGUUCCACUCCCAGUCACCACCCUUCCUUAGAUCAAUUCCACCUAUUGCCAACGAUUAGUUUUCAACUCCGGUCACCUGUUAACUCCUCUAUUUAUUCCUGCCUCAGUCCACUCUUCAGGGCCAGAUUAUUUUGAGCCAUUCGCCUGCCCUCUGCCUGAUCUGAUGCCUGCCUGUUUACCUGACCGGUUCUGUCUCCGGAUAUCUGAGCUUGCCUGACCCCUGUUUGAUUAUUCAUACUUGCCUGUAACCGGACCUGGAUUUGUUUUCUGACUUUGUUCCCGGAUUCUGCUCUGGACUUCCCUGCACUUCUGAUUACCCGGUUUGUCUUUGGACUAUUGUUUGGAUUUCGAACUCUGUUUUUUCCUGUUCAUCAGUCUGCUUGCCUGUCACUCCUGUCCUUUUAAUAAACUGUCUAAAACGUU